GAAGUGUACAUUGGUCGUGGAGG
rnacentral:miRNA from 1 species